rnacentral:rRNA from 1 species
AGUGAACGCUGGCGGUAGGCCUAACACAUGCAAGUCGAACGGCAGCACAGUAAGAGCUUGCUCUUACGGGUGGCGAGUGGCGGACGGGUGAGGAAUACAUCGGAAUCUACUUUUUCGUGGGGGAUAACGUAGGGAAACUUACGCUAAUACCGCAUACGACCUACGGGUGAAAGCAGGGGAUCUUCGGACCUUGCGCGAUUGAAUGAGCCGAUGUCGGAGUAGCUAGUUGGCGGGGUAAAGGCCCACCAAGGCGACGAUCCGUAGCUGGUCUGAGAGGAUGAUCAGCCACACUGGCACUGAGACACGGUCCAGACUCCUACGGGAGGCAGCAGUGGGGAAUAUUGGACAAUGGGCGCAAGCCUGAUCCAGCCAUACCGCGUGGGUGAAGAAGGCCUUCGGGUUGUAAAGCCCUUUUGUUGGGAAAGAAAAGCAGCAGGUUAAUACCCCGCUGUUCUGACGGUACCCAAAGAAUAAGCACCGGCUAACUUCGUG